rnacentral:rRNA from 1 species
UACAGAGGUCUCAAGCGUUGUUCGGAUUCAUUGGGCGUAAAGGGUGCGUAGGCGGCGCGGUAAGUCGGAUGUGAAAUCUCGGGGCUUAACUCCGAAACUGCAUUCGAUACUGCCGUGCUUGAGGACUGGAGAGGAGACUGGAAUUUACGGUGUAGCGGUGAAAUGCGUAGAUAUCGUAAGGAAGACCAGUGGCGAAGGCGGGUCUCUGGA